ACACAGCAGAAAUCAGUCCAACAGAAGUUUAAACCUCUCAGGCAAAUUCCUCAUGUGUGUCAGGACUUCUGGGUUUCCGACACCCAUCUCCCAACUUACCUGUCAUCUCAAAUGAUCUGGAUACGAGAAGAUUUGGACAAUUAACGUUGUUUCUCUCUCAAAAGCUUCCCUGCCCUUGCUUCCAUGGUGGACCACUUGUCACCUUUCCCCAAGAAUUGGUCAUCCCAGCAGUGCGGAAACAGAGUUGCAAUGGAAUGAUCAGAAGGAAGGACAACCUGCCAGUUGAAACGGAAUGAUGAACCCCAUCUUACUAUGUGUGGGUCCUGGAACAAGUUGCCACUGCUGGGACUUCCAACAGUUGACCUGCAACCCUGACGACAGUGCAAUAGUUAUAAGGCUGUUAUGCUCUUGGACAAGUAUUGUGAGC